UCUUGUUGACUUGCUCAGUCUCCGGGUCUCCUCCUGCUCUCGAAGUCUCGAGCUCGCAAGGUUGAAGGCGACGCCGUCCAAGGGCCGGCCGGAGCAACCGCCUCAGAUUUCUAGCCCGUGCCUCUUUGUCUCCCUCAAGCCGGCAGCUGCUUUUAUUCGUUAAAUCCCAAGAAUAUACCAUGGAUUUCGGACAAAAGACGGCGGCGAUAGUGACAUUUAUGAAGUACGCGGGGGCCAUGAAAGGCUUCAAGGUCGGUGCAGCAGCUGCAGCUGUUGUAGCCGCGACCACGGCUGCCAUAUCCGGGAAAGACACGAACAAAUGCAGCCCCAAGCCAAGAACAAGAUGAUAUAUGCUCAUGAGUUGGUGGAGAAGCACUCUGUCGAAAUGACUAGUAUGUCAACAACUCAACAUCCACCAACAUAUCAGCACUUUGUUGGCAAUGCCGUAAUUGCACUUUGUACUUAAUGGUAGAUUAAGCUAUCUUCAGGGGUCAUGCUACUUCAUCCGUUGGAAAAUGUCACACCUGUUUCUGUGAGCAUGACGGUGGAACUGAGUAAAACACAUCCAUGGUCAUUAAACUUGGCUCUAAGGUUUAGUUUGAUCACUAUCUGGGGUGAAGCUAGAACAAAAAUCCAUUGUUGUUAGCUUUAUUAUUUAGCGCCAUUCUUGUACUUAUAAACAGUGAUGUGGACUAUCCAAUAAAGUGCUGGCUAAAUUA